UACGUAGGGGGCAAGCGUUGUCCGGAUUUAUUGGGCGUAAAGAGCGUGUAGGCGGCCGGAUAGGUCCGUUGUGAAAACUCGAGGCUCAACCUCGAGACGCCGAUGGAAACCAUCUGGCUAGAGUCCGGAAGAGGAGAGUGGAAUUCCCGGUGUAGAGGUGAAAUUCGUAGAUAUCGGGAGGAACACCAGUGGCGAAGGCGGCUCUCUGGACAGGUACUGACGCUGAGACGCGAAAGCGUGGGUAGCAAACAGG
rnacentral:rRNA from 1 species